rnacentral:rRNA from 1 species
CGGUAUACGGAGGAUCCAAGCGUUAUCCGGAAUCAUUGGGUUUAAAGGGUCCGUAGGCGGGUUUGUAACUCAGUGGUGAUAGUCUGCAGCUCAACUGUAGAACUGCCAUUGAUACUGCAUACCUUGAGUAAUUAUGAAGUGGUUAGAAUAUGUAGUGUAGCGGUGAAAUGCAUAGAUAUUACAUAGAAUACCGAUUGCGAAGGCAGAUCACUAAUAAUUUACUGACGCUGAUGGACGAAAGCGUAGGUAGCGAACAGGAUUAGAUACCCUGGUAGUCUACGCCGUAAACGAUGGUUACUAGCUGUUUGGCUCGAUUGAGAGCUGAGUGGCUAAGCGAAAGUGAUAAGUAACCCACCUGGGGAGUACGUUCGCAAGAAUGAAACUCAAAGGAAUUGACGGGGGCCCGCACAAGCGGUGGAGCAUGUGGUUUAAUUCGAUGAUACGCGAGGAACCUUACCAGGGCUUAAAUGUAGCUUGACAGGGGUGGAAACACCUUUUCCUUCGGGCAAGUUACAAGGUGCUGCAUGGUUGUCGUCAGCUCGUGCCGUGAGGUGUCAGGUUAAGUCCUAUAACGAGCG